AGUAGGGAAUAUUGCACAAUGGGCGAAAGCCUGAUGCAGCAACACCGCGUGUGCGAUGAAGGCCUUCGGGUUGUAAAGCACUUUUUGAGAGGAUGAGAAAGGACAGUACUCUCAGAAUAAGUCUCGGCUAACUACGUGCCAGCAGCCGCGGUAACACGUAGGAGGCAAGCGUUAUCCGGAUUUACUGGGCGUAAAGCGCGUGUAGGUGGUUUGGUAAGUUGGAUGUGAAAUCUCCCGGCUCAACUGGGUGAGGUCGUUCAAAACUGCUAGACUAGAGGACGGUAGAGGAAAGUGGAAUUCCAGGUGUAGUGGUGAAAUGCGUAGAUAUCUGGAGGAACACCAGUGGCGAAAGCGACCUUCUGGCCCGUUUCUGACACUAAGACGCGAAAGCUAGGGUAGCAAACGGGAUUAGAGACCCCGGUAGUCCUAGCCGUAAACGAUGUCAACUAGGCGUUGGUGGGUUAAUAGCCAUCAGUGCCGCAGCUAACGCGAUAAGUUGACCGCCUGGGGACUACGAUCGCAAGAUUAAAACUCAAAGGAAUUGACGGGGCCCCGCACAAGCAGCGGAGCGUGUGGUUUAAUUCGAUCUACACGAAGAACCUUACCUGGGCUUGACAUGUCGAUGAACGAUUGCGAAAGCAUGAGGCUCCCUUCGGGGACAUCGUCACAGGUGUUGCAUGGCUGUCGUCAGCUCGUGUCGUGAGAUGUUCGGUUAAGUCCGGUAACGAGCGCAACCCUCGCCGUAUGUUAUAUGUGUCAUGCGGGACCGCAGGUUUCAAACCUGAGGAAGGUGGGGAUGACGUCAAGUCAGCAUGGCCUUUAUGUCCAGGGCUACACACACGCUACAAUGGACGGUACAAUGGGUUGCCAAGCCGCGAGGUGGAGCCAAUCCCCCAAAGCCGUCCCCAGUUCAGAUUGUAGGCUGCAACUCGCCUGCAUGAAGUCGGAGUUGCUAGUAAUCGCGCGUCAGCUAUAGUGCGGUGAAUACGUUCUCGGGGCUUGUACACACCGCCCGUCACGUCAUGGAAGUUGGUAACACCUGAAGCCGGUAGCUCAACCCUCACGGGAGGGCGCCGUCUAAGGUGGGGCUGGUAACUAGGACG
rnacentral:rRNA from 1 species